UACGAACUGUGCGAACGUUAUUCGGAAUCACUGGGCUUACAGGGUGCGUAGGCGGCGACAAAAGUCAGGUGUGAAAGCCCACGGCUCAACCGUGGAACUGCGCUUGAAACUUUGUUGCUUGAGUGGACUAGAGGCAUGCGGAACUUCCGGUGGAGCGGUGAAAUGUGUUGAUAUCGGAAGGAACACCAGAGGCGAAAGCGGCAUGCUGGAGUCUGUCUGACGCUGAGGCACGAAAGCCAGGGGAGCAAACGGG
rnacentral:rRNA from 1 species